rnacentral:lncRNA from 1 species
GGGAUUCACACUAAGUCUUUAGGCCUUAACAAGGCAGCACAGUCUUUAGUCUAUAUUUAUUACACAAAGCACUAAACAAUGAUCCUUACUCUUCUUAUUCUUGUUGUUGUUAUUCUUCUAUUUCAAUCAUAUUUACUGCCCGGUACAGGUUUCAGUAUAGUACACUAUGAAAGUCAAGAUGAUCCAACGGCAUUACUGCCCAAAGUGGGGGUUUGGAGCGGAGUCGGGUUCUCUCUCUCAGUAUUGCGUCCAUCCUCUUCCAAAGUUUUGCCACGACUCUCUGAUUUUUCGAAGUCCUCACUAUUAUAUUUUGGCUUCUUUCACCCCUUUUGAUAUAUAUCUUUUUCCCCAACUAUAUUCCUUAAGUCUCGGCUUAUUACCACCUGCAUGUUACCUGAUUCUCUCC